rnacentral:rRNA from 1 species
GUGAGGAAUAUUGCGCAAUGGAGGCAACUCUGACGCAGCCAUGCCGCGUGCAGGAAGAAGGCGCUACGCGUUGUAAACUGCUUUUAACCGGGAAGAAACCCCAGGACGUGUCCUGGGUUGACGGUACCGGAGGAAUAAGCACCGGCUAACUUCGUGCCAGCAGCCGCGGUAAUACGAAGGGUGCAAGCGUUAUCCGGAUUCAUUGGGUUUAAAGGGUGCGUAGGCGGAGCGUUAAGUCAGUGGUGAAGUCCUGCAGCGUAACUGUAGACUUGCCAUUGAUACUGGCGCUCUUGAGUGCGCUUGAAGUGGGCGGAAUGUGCCGUGUAGCGGUGAAAUGCUUAGAUAUGGCACAGAACACCAAUUGCGAAGGCAGCUCACUAAGGCGAUACUGACGCUGAGGCACGAAAGCGUGGGGAUCGAACAGGAUUAGAAACCCUAGUAGUCC